rnacentral:tRNA from 1 species
UCCCUGGUAGUCCAGUGGUUAAGACUCUUUGCUUCCAAUGCUGGGGGCACAGGCUUGAUUCCUGAUCAGGGAA